AUACGGAGGAUCCGAGCGUUAUCCGGAUUUAUUGGGUUUAAAGGGUGCGCAGGCGGCCAUUUAAGUCAGCGGUUAAAUCGUGGGGCUCAACCCCAUUCUGCCGUUGAUACUGGGUGGCUUGAUUGCGGUCGAGGUUGGCGGAAUUCGUUGUGUAGCGGUGAAAUGCAUAGAUAUGACGAAGAACACCGAUUGCGUAGGCAGCCUGCUGGACUGUAACUGACGCUGAUGCUCGAAAGUGUGGGUAUCAAACAGGAUUAGAUACCCUGGUAGUCCACACAGUAAACGAUGAAUACUCGCUGUUUGCGAUAUACAGUAAGCGGCCAAGCGAAAGCGUUAAGUAUUCCACCUGGGGAGUACGCCGGCAACGGUGAAACUCAAAGGAAUUGACGGGG
rnacentral:rRNA from 1 species